rnacentral:rRNA from 1 species
CCUACGGGAGGCAGCAGUGGGGAAUAUUGCACAAUGGGGGAAACCCUGAUGCAGCGACGCCGCGUGAGUGAAGAAGUAUUUCGGUAUGUAAAGCUCUAUCAGCAGGGAAGAAGAAAGACGGUACCUGACUAAGAAGCCCCGGCUAACUACGUGCCAGCAGCCGCGGUAAUACGUAGGGGGCUAGCGUUAUCCGGAUUUACUGGGUGUAAGGGGAGCGUAGACGGCUGUGCAAGUCUGAAGUGAAAUCCCAGGGCUCAACCCUGGGACUGCUUUGGAAACUGUGGAGCUAGAGUGCUGGAGGGGUAAGUGGAAUUCCUAGUGUAGCGGUGAAAUGCGUAGAUAUUAGGAGGAACACCGGUGGCGAAGGCGGCUUACUGGACAGUAACUGACGUUGAGGCUCGAAAGCGUGGGGAGCAAACAGGAUUAGAUACCCGUGUAGUC